UUUUUUUUUUUUUUUUUUUUUUUUUUUUUUUUUUUUUUUUUUUUUUUUACAAUGUACCACCAACGAAGGAGUGUCAGAGACG
rnacentral:ribozyme from 13 species